AACUUUAUAUUCAAUAAUGAUAUUAAAUUGCAAAUUUAAAGGAGUAAUAAAUUACUAGAGUUU
rnacentral:tRNA from 1 species